CAGACCUGCAAUGGAAACAAGCUAUGAUGCAACGAGAACUGUGAGGGCUUAUGCUCAGCACCCAUCCCAGGGCCCGAAAGGGAAUAAAGGAAGGACAGGACCCACGAUGUUGGAAAUUCCCAUCCUGCCGAGGUAUUCCCUCACCUUCAGGGACCAAGACAACUCAUGGCUAAUUCGCCUGGACAAGAAUGGCCCAGACUUCAAUGGGAGACACUGGGGCUUGAAGCUGGUUCAGGAAUUAACAACUAAAUGAAAAUCUUAAAGGCACCCUAUUAGGGCUCUGAAAUUACUCUAGGCACAACAGUAUGAAAAUAUAUUUAGGGAGAAUAACUGAUUAUGUUUCACUGGUUCCUGAAAUGCAUGAUCUGUUUAAACUAACUCUCUGCCCUCUGCCAUGUCAGGUGACAAAUAGCUUGGCGGACUAGGCAUUAACAGCAGGAACACAUUGCAUUCUGCAGAACUCAUUCAACAUGCAAUGUCACCCCUCCUGAGACCAAUGAAGGGAGCACAAGGGAGACCACUCCCCUGGUUUUAGUAUGGGUUUGUUAAUUAUAACUGCUGGGCACAUUUGCCAUCUCAUUCUACAUCACUCAUCAAAAGUAUGCAAACAAAUUUAAUGUGCCACUUCAACGAUCCUGACAUCAAAACUGCAAAAUUCAUGUAUAAUCUCCAGGUUCUGUGACACAUAAAAUAUGCACAAGAAAAAAGCCAGUGGGAUGGUUGAGGGUUUUUUUUCCCAUUGGCAAUCACAGACAAUGAUUUACGCACGCAAUAAUAUAUGGACUGUCCAUAUCCGUGAAGAGGUUGGAACUCUAAAAUAAAUCACAGCCGGUUUUUAAGACUGUGAUUCCGCGUGUAUGCCUAUGCUUGUGUACAUCUGCCGUCAUUAUGCCAUCAGCAAAACCUCCUAAGUUCAGAGCUUUAUGAUGCUGCACUGGCUAUCCACUCUGCGCUUUCUACCCACAAACCAGAAAGAGCUGGGCUCUCCAGCUAAAAGGAAGGAGUAAAACUUAACAAUGCUGAUCACAAGCAAUAAACACAGAACACACAGCUUCUCAGCCGACUGACUGGGAACAUUCUAGUUUGAGCAGGUCCUGCUGAAAAAGUUCAAGAUCGGACUGGAUAUUUCAGAAAUGAAAAGAUUUGAUCGUCAGCUGCUUCCCUCUUUGGGCUGUAAAUUCAUGGCGGGGAAGGACUGCAGUCCUGUUCUUUCUAUCAUUGGCUGUGGCACCUCUCCAGGCUGCACCCAGUGGAUGUUUAAAUCAGACCUGACUGGGUAGUUACAACUAAAAUAACUAGAAUAUUUUGCAAGACUGUUGUAAAUCUA